UACAGAGGGUGCGAGCGUUGUUCGGAAUUAUUGGGCGUAAAGGGCGCGUAGGCGGCGCCACAAGUCACUUGUGAAAACUCUGGGCUCAACUCAGAGCCUGCAAGCGAAACUGUGGUGCUGGAGUAUGGGAGAGGUGCGUGGAAUUCCCGGUGUGGCGGUGAAAUGCGUAGAUAUGUGGAAGAACACCUGUGGCGAAAGCGGUUUUCUAGCUUACACCUGACGCUGAGGCGCGAGAGCAAGGGGAGCAAACAGG
rnacentral:rRNA from 1 species